UGGGAGGUCGUUCAGCGGUAGGACUGCGGACUCUGACUCCGCCAACCAAGGUUCGAAUCCUUGCCUCCCAGCCA
rnacentral:tRNA from 2 species